rnacentral:rRNA from 1 species
AGUGAACGCUGGCGGUAGGCCUAACACAUGCAAGUCGAACGGCAGCACAGUAAGAGCUUGCUCUUACGGGUGGCGAGUGGCGGACGGGUGAGGAAUACAUCGGCAUCUACUUUUUCUUGGGGGAUAACGUAGGGAAACUUACGCUAAUACAGCAUACGACCUACGGGUGAAAGCAGGAGAUCUUCGGACCUUGCGCGAUUGAAUGAGCCGAUGUCGGAUUAGCUAGUUGGCGGGGUAAAGGCCCACCAAGGCAACGAUCCGUAGCUGGUCUGAGAGGAUGAUCAGCCACACUGGAACUGAGACGCGGUCCAGACUCCUACGGGAGGCAGCAGUGGGGAAUAUUGGGCAAUGGGCGCAAGCCUGACCCAGCCAUACCGCGUGAGUGAAGAAGGCCUUCGGGUUGUAAAGCCCUUUUGUUGGGAAAGAAAAUAUGUAGGUUAAUACCCCGCUGUUCUGACGGUACCCAAACAAUAAGCACCGGCUAACUUCGUG